rnacentral:lncRNA from 1 species
GUUCAUACGUUAAGCUCUUAAAAAACAAUGAAUCUCAAACGUUUUCUUUCUUUGCUUUUUUAGGAUACAUUGAGAUCAAGCCCGCCAGAGAACAAAGUCAUGAAGAAAGCAAGCCUUGCCGGAGUCUCAACUACAACUUUUUUCUACAUGUUAUGUGGCUGCAUUGGAUACGCCGCAUUUGGAAACAAAGCCCCUGGAGACUUCCUUACCGACUUUUUUUAUGAACCUUACUGGCUCAUCGAUUUUGCCAAUGCUUGCAUUGUCCUCCACCUAAUAGCAGCCUAUCAGGUAAACUCAUAAGAAUAUAGCUUGAGUCUCAGAUCAAGGAUUGCUCGAUUAUAAAGAAAUAAUUAGUACCUACUACUAACAACUUUGAAGUUACCGAAGUCUCAAGAUGAAAACAAACAUUGAUGAUGUUUUUAAAAUGGGCAGGUGUUUGCACAACCAAUAUUCCAAUUUGUUGAGAACAAAUGCAACAAAGCAUGGCCAGAAAGCAAUUUCAUCACCAAAGAACAUUCGAUGAACAUACUAUUCCUCGGAAAAUGUCGCAUCAGCUUCUUCAGACUGGUGUGGAGGACAGCUUAUGUGAUUUUCACAACAGUUGUAGCAAUGAUAUUCCCCUUCUUUAACGCGAUCUUGGGUCUUAUCGGGGCAGCCGCAUUCUGGCCGCUAACAGUUUACUUCCCGGUGGAGAUGCACAUCUCGCAGAGAAAGAUUAAGAAGCAUUCUAUGAGAUGGAUAGGGUUGAAACUCCUUGUAUUGGUUUGUUUGAUUGUUACCCUGCGUCAAGUUCUUGUCAAGGUUUUGAGUUUUGAUCUCGUAAGAAUGUGUUUUAGUUUAGGAAUAAGAUUUUCUUCCUGUGAGGAAUCCCUGAAUCUUGAGUCAUUACUUGUUUUGUCAGUAUAGCAUAUCUGACUUGCCUGUUCUGCUACGCUUGUUUGUCUUUGACUUGCCCGGAAGAUAAUGAAGUUUAAGGAAGAUCAGGAUGUACGGAUGGCGACAAAAUGUUUGAUAAGCUCUCUCUCUCUCUCUCUCUAUCUGAAACCAUUAAGCAUGCCAUCAGAUCCCAGAAUCGUGUCAUUGUUGAAGGAAAUAAUCUGGUGAGUCAGUCUUUUGAAUCAUUGUGUGUUCUGUAUGUAUAUAUUGUUUGCUCAGUUUUUGCGUUGAAAGAAUGAGUUGUUAAAGUUUUCGUUUUGGUUAAUACUUCUCGGCUCAGGUUUGUAUUGGAGACUUUGAUUGAUUCCUACUUCUACAACACUUGGUCCCUCAUUUGUCGGCUGCGAGAGGUGGGCGGAUACUUCUUCAUCUCGUGAAGAACAUCCUCCACUACAAGAAAACAGCUACAUACUGAGGGAAAAUAUCGUCGGUAUGUCGUCGGAAUAACGCUAUUCCGACGACAUACCGACGAAAAAAGUCCUCGGAAAUAACUCCUCGGAAUUUCAUUUUUCCUCAGAAAUUCCUCGGAAAUUUCCGACGGAAUUCCGAGGAAACGAAUUUCCGAGGAAAUUCCGAGGACCACAUGUUCGUCGGAAUUUCCUCGGAAUAUUCCGAGGAAGAUGUCGUCGGAAUAUCCCGAGGGAUACACUUCCUCGGAAUAUUUCCAAAAUUAAAAAAAAAAAUAUAAAUUUAUUUUUUUAAAUUGAAAUUCGAAAAUAUAAAAUUAAAAUUGAAAUAGAAAAUAUAUUCUUAAGUUUGUCCAGUCUGUUUUAGUUCCAUCGUUUGUCUCCGGGUUGUAUCUUGUAUCAAGCCGGCUCGUGGUUCUGGAAAGGAAUUAUACCUUUAGCGGCUUUGUGUAAGAACUAAUGCAAAUUUAUAUUUAAUUUAAUAGAUGACAACAAAGACUACAUGUGGUAGGCAAACUUGUUAACUAAGAUUGUUUGGUUUUCUGUGUGAGAUUUGUUUUUUUGUUCUAUUCCAGAAGCUAGUCGAGAAAUUGUCUUGUCUAAUGAGGAUAUACUCGUAAUGCUGCCAACCGGUUUGGUUUAGAUCCCUUAAAUUUGAAUAAUGGAAAUAGUUUUUUGAUGUAAAAAAAACAGGUGGUAGGAAAGUGCAGUUAUGUGGACUGGCACAAUACGGGUGUUUCGUAGGGGUCACUAUUGGUUACACCAUCACUGCAUCCAUAAGCUUAGUGUAAGUUGCAACUUGUGACUUAUUUUUGAUUACGUUAUGGUUACUAACGUUUUGUGAAGAAAAAAUAAGUCUUGGUUAAUAUGUCGUGUUGGCUAGAGCGAUUGGGAAAGCAAAUUGUUUUCAUGACAAAGGACAUGGGGAGAAAUGUUCCAUGCCAAAUUAUCCAUUCAUGGCGGUCUUCGGGAUCGUGGAGAUUAUUCUUAGUCAGAUUCCUAGCUUUCACAAGCUCUCUUUUCUCUCCAUUAUCGCCACCGUUAUGUCCUUUUCUUAUGCGUCUAUCGGAAUUGGUUUAGCCAUGGCCGUUGUGGCAAGUACGCUUCUCUCUCCUUAUCUUAUCUUUUUGUCUUUAAAAUAUACAUUUGUAAAACAUGCUCACGCAAUUUCAAAACCCUAUGCAAAUAUCUUGACACAUGCAUUUAGUUGUUUAUUUUUCUGUUUUUACAUAAAAAUGUAGGAGCUCUGAGAUACGUCUAUACACAUAUUCAAAACUGAUUAUAAACUGGGUUGACUUGUUCGAUUGCAUUAGUUGUCAAUCUUUUCAAACGCCCUCGUACAUACAAAAAGUUUGUUUAGGUAGAAAAGCAUCUCGAUCUAAGCCUCAUAUAUUGUAGGAUUCUCACAGAUUUGUAAGAUGAUAUAUGCAUGUGAUUUUUCUAACUAAAAGGGUGUGAUAUGAAAGGUGGGAAGGUUGGCAAGACGGGGGCUACGGGCACAGUGGUUGGAGUGGAGGUAACUGCCUCUGACAAAAUAUGGAAGUCUUUUCAAGCGACUGGAGACAUUGCUUUUUCAUACGCUUAUUCCAGUAUUCUCGUUGAGAUUCAGGCAUGCAUUAAUCUUUUCUUUUAUAGAUGUUUUGGUGGUCAUCAUCAAAAUAGCUAGUGUGGCAAUUUUUUUAUAUCAUUAUUGCUUUUUAUUUGCAUUUGAGUUUAAAAAUCAUAUGAUAUAUGUUGGUUUGGUUAAUAACUUUUGAUGAUGUUAUUAAUUAUGAUUCUUAUCAAGAGAAUAUAUAUCUUGAAUUUGACACAGAUCACUUUAAAUAAUAAUUAGCCUUCAACCGCGGUUCAUACGUUAAGCUCUUAAAAAACAAUGAAUCUCAAACGUUUUCUUUCUUUGCUUUUUUAGGAUACAUUGAGAUCAAGCCCGCCAGAGAACAAAGUCAUGAAGAAAGCAAGCCUUGCCGGAGUCUCAACUACAACUUUUUUCUACAUGUUAUGUGGCUGCAUUGGAUACGCCGCAUUUGGAAACAAAGCCCCUGGAGACUUCCUUACCGACUUUUUUUAUGAACCUUACUGGCUCAUCGAUUUUGCCAAUGCUUGCAUUGUCCUCCACCUAAUAGCAGCCUAUCAGGUAAACUCAUAAGAAUAUAGCUUGAGUCUCAGAUCAAGG